AGAGUUUGAUCCUGGCUCAGGACGAACGCUGGCGGCGUGCCUAACACAUGCAGGUUUGGGAGAAUUGGGUAGCAAUAUCCAUAGUAAACCGGCGCACGGGUGAGUAAUAUAUAGGUAAUAUGCCUUUUGGUUUGGGAUAACCCCGCGAAAGCGGGGCUAAUACCGAAUGAAGUUCCGAGACGGCCUCGUUUCGGGAUUAAAGCUUCGGCGCCAAGAGAUUAGCCUGUAUCCCAUUAGAUAGUUGGCGAGGUAACGGCUCACCAAGUCUGCGAUGGGUAGCUGAUCUGAGAGGAUGAUCAGCCACACUGGAACUGAGACACGGCCCAGACUCCUACGGGAGGCAGCAGUGAGGAAUAUUGCGCAAUGGAGGAAACUCUGACGCAGCGACGCCGCGUGAAGGAUGAAGGCCCUCUGGGUUGUAAACUUCUGUAGAGAGGGAAGAAUUUUUCGCUUCGCGAAAUUGACGGUACCUCUAAAGUAAGGGUCGGCUAACUACGUGCCAGCAGCCGCGGUAAUACGUAGGACCCAAGCGUUGUCCGGAUUUACUGGGUGUAAAGGGAGCGCAGGCGGAUUAUUAAGUCGAUUGUGAAAUCUUGCGGCUCAACCGCAAAACAGCAGUCGAUACUGUUAAUCUUGAGUGUGGAAGAGAGUGGCGGAAUUCAUGGUGUAGCAGUGAAUGCGUAGAUAUCAUGAAGAACACCGGUUGCGAAGGCGGCCACUUAGUCCAUUACUGACGCUCAUGCUCGAAAGCGUGGGGAUCAAACAGGAUUAGAUACCCUGGUAGUCCACGCCCUAAACGAUGAAUACUCGGUGUCGGGUCGCAAGAUUCGGCGCCUAAGCAAACGCAUUAAGUAUUCCACCUGGGAAGUACGAUCGCAAGGUUGAAACUCAAAGGAAUUGACGGG
rnacentral:rRNA from 1 species